CAAGACGCUGAUACGCUGAUAGAAGCUGAUGCUGGUAAGACGCUCAUUGUAGAUUCCUGCACAAGUAAAAUAUUGUAAACUUAAUAGUUUGUCCAAGACUAAUACUCCAUCGAGAAUUGCUUCAAUGGCUGACGAAAACAUUUUCCUUUUCGUUCCGAAUUUGAUCGGCUAUGCCCGCAUUGUUCUGGCUCUGCUGGCCUUUUACCUGAUGACAUGCUGCCCAGUGCCAGCUGUGUUCUGCUACCUGCUCAGUGCCCUCCUGGAUGCCUUUGAUGGACAUGCUGCCCGUGCUCUGAACCAAGGCACUAAGUUUGGUGCCAUGCUGGACAUGCUGACUGACCGCUGUGCCACCAUGUGUCUCCUGGUCAACCUUUCUCUGCUCUACCCCUCCUACACCUUCCUGUUCCAAGUCAGCAUGUGCCUGGACAUUGCCAGCCACUGGCUGCACCUUCACAGUUCAAUGAUGAAAGGAUCCACCAGCCACAAGACUAUUGAUCUUUCAGGAAACCCCAUCCUUCGCCUCUACUACACUUCCCGGCUGGUGUUGUUCAUCAUGUGUAUGGGGAAUGAGCUGUUCUUCUGCCUGCUUUAUGUCUUCUACUACAUCGAGGAACCCCAUGUGUGGCUGCAGUGGCUGCUCAGUGUCUGUGCCGUGGUGUGUGCCCUGAAGUCGGCCAUCAGCGUGCUGCACCUUGUCACUGCCUCCAGGAAUAUGGCUGCCAUCGACAUGGCCGACCGUGAGAGGGAGCGGACUAAGGCCGAGUGAGGCAAAGGGAGUGGGCGGUGGAAAGCAACCCUCACGCCUUAACUGUAGUUUUGAGCGGAUUGGUGUGACAAUUUGGGGGCACAUAGUGAGGAAAGGCUUCGUAUAGAGAUCGUCAACUUGAAGGAGCAGCUAGAGGCCCGCACGGAGGAGAGCGUCAUGCCUCAACAGACAUUUUAGAAGGUGAGUGGAUAUGAGGGGGGGGCAGGCACACACUAAGGCCAUAGAAAAAGGGUACUCAAAUACAAAUACAAAUCCACAAAGAAUAUGUUCAAUAAGACAAAGGUCUGUUUAAUAAGGUCUGUCAAAUAUAUUUAGUACAUAGGAUAUACAAAUGACAAUGACAUUUUCUCCAUCCCCACAACUGGUUCAAACACACCCACCUAAGGUGUCAACGUGGAGUCCAGAACUAUUGUACAUUGUGUCAAACACUGGCUAAGUGAGAGCAAGUGGCACAUUUGGUCUGUUGCUAAGACUAUGAACUGUGGCACAUUUGGUCUGUUGCUAAGACUAUGAACUGUGGCACAGAAGGUGUGAUGACCAAGCGAAGACACUGAUGCAGGUGUUCAUUGGUGAGUGGGCUGCGGUACUUGUUCUUCACCAUGUUUAUUGUUGAUAAUGCAGACUCACAGCUGUACGUUGAGCCAAACAUUGUGAAAAUGUGAAGUGCCAUCUUAUGUAGGAGAGAGAAAUGAGCUGCAGUAACCAGAAGGUGGAGCAUCACAUUCUGCCUCUUUCAGUGUGAGGUUUUCCUGGAGGUCAAUCAACUCACUUUGCAGAGAAGCAGCACUCGGAGCAUCGGAGCAUCGCUUACAGUGGAGUAGGCGGGGAAUUUUGCUCAGAGUAUAAUUUGCUCAGAGUCCGGAGACAGUUGUGGUUCGGUCCGGAUCCGGACCGGAGUCCAGACUUUGAGGAUACAUGACAUAAAACAUGGUCUGUAAUAAUUCAAAGUUCUAUCCCAACUAAACCUAACUCCUGGAAUACCUUAUUUGAAUAAAAUCUAAUUGCAUAGUUCUGUUGACCUUUGCCCUCCACAGUGAAACUGUACAGACUGAAGACAGAGAUGGAGCGUGUCCAGUGUCAGAAGGAGAAGCUGCUUCAUUGCCGUCUUCAGGCUGUACAGCUUCACUGUGGAUGGCAAAGGUCAAUAGGACUAUGUUCACCUACAGGGAGACAACAGCUCCCUCAGCCACAACAAGGUACUAGGACGAGAAACUGAGGCAGCAGUGUAUGCUUGUGUUGAAUAUUGGGCAUUGAUUUGAAAAGUUGUAUAAACUUCUCAUCUCCUUUCCAGUCAUCUCUCCAACAGAGGGACUCCAACUAUCACAGUCACUACAGGUGAUGUUGAUGCAGAGAUGGGGACUUGAGUCUGAGACACGGACUGGAGUCGCACUUAAGUCGCACAAACAGCUGACUUCAGACUUCACUUGCGACUCGAACCAAAAGAUUUUAGACUCGAACUUUGAGACUCGUCAACAACCUGUUUUCAUGCAAUUAUUGGUUUUAAAAUUCUAAAUUAAUUAAUGUAUUUUUAUUUUAUUCUAUUGGCGCAUAUACGUUGGGGAAGCGUAUGAUGAGCUGCAUGUCCCCUGCCCUUUGCCAUACUGUGCAAUGUAAUGCAUGCACUAUGCCUAUGUGCGCGCACUCACAUCAAAAUAUGCAUUGAUGAUGGUGACACCAAAGUCCUCCCGGAGUUGUGCCUUUUGUCAUUAGUUUUGGUUUCAAUAACUUUGUGAACAGUGGCAGUAAGCGAACAGCGACAUGCAAGUUGUGUGGCACCAAGAUAAAUGAUGCCGGAUCAACAAUGUCGAUUUUCAUCAGGCACCUCAAAACGCACCCAGAUAGGACAGUCACUUGCUAAUGUGAAAAAUAUGUUACAUUUAGCAUAUAUUGUCACAGGUAACAAGCUAACCAUUGCAAAGUGUUGUGCUAAUGCUGGGAACAGGCAAAUUGUAUCUUUAUAGUUGUAUCCAUAUGAUGUCAUUGCAGAUUGCAUUGCAGUAGACCCCAUAGAGUUAUCCUACAACUGAUUUUGAUACUGUACUGUAUGGAUGGUAGCUACAGGACGUGCUUUGAAUUCAUAAGAUUAAACAAUAGAGUGUUGGGGACAGAUCAGAUGGCAGGAGAGACUUGAGACUUGACUUGAACUUGCAAAAAAUGACUUGUGAACAUCUCUGUGCUGAUGCAGAUCCUGGAUCAGACAUGCUGAUCUAGGACUGUUCAAUCAGUGUCACAUUGGACUGGUUGCUAUUUCAUAAACAGCUCCAGUCCAUUUGGGAUCUACUGGAUUUUAUCAGAUGUGAUUUUUUUUGUCCAUGGGCCAUUCAAGUGAGUAAAGGCAUUUAUUGUGGUAUUUCAUGUCUCCUUAUCAAAGAGUUUCUGGCUGGCCCUUUGUUCAUUUGCUUGAUGAUAGAGCUCAUUAGCUCUUGUGACAUUUGUCUGACUAUUUUAAACAGGUGGUAACAGAGGCUUAGUAAAUGUAAACACUUACAUUUCAUUACAGUGUAUAAUUAUUAUUUCCAUUAUUAAAUUCACCGAUAGUAAUGUAAUUACUAAUUGGCAAAUGUUAUUAGCAAAUAAAAAGCUAUGCUGAUUCUGUCUCUCUUUCCCUCAUCUGCCAUCCCUCUCUUCUAGGUGAAACUGGAGCUGAUUCGUCAGGCAGACACUCUGGACCAGGUGAGAGACAUCUUGGAGGAAGGGCUUCCUGAAGAAAGUGGCUGUCCUACAGAUGCCACGUGAGCCAAUCAGAGCAGCAGAACCAAAGUGCCAGGAAGUAUUCCAAGAGUGACCAAUAAGAGUGAGGCUGGACUGGAAGUGCAACAGUUACCACAGGGAACAACCGGACCACUACCAUGUCAUUGCCACUGCUUUUAUGUCAACUUGGAGUAUGAAUUCAUGUACAAAAACGCAGCAUUAAUUGAGUUGAGCUUAAAAGACUAUGAAACAAACCAUGCAAAUGCAGUGCUAUAUUGCAAUAAUCUUUGGGGGGGCCUUUCUAAAAAGGAUGCCUACUCAGAACAGAACUUGAUGUGGUGGGGAUGUUUUGGUUAUAGUGUUAUUUACACUUUUACAAGUUUGCAAAACAUUUGACCACUAACAAAAGUAAUUCCAAGUGUGCAAAAAAUUUUACAAAUAAAAAAACAUAUGUCGCUGUUUUACUUUCCUUAAUGCUCACACAAAUACAGUGGGGAGAACAAGUAUUUGAUACAUUGCCGAUUUU